UGGAGACUUAAGGAAACCAGGUGGUUGUCCAGAGAUUCCUGAAGGCAGUAAUGAUUUGUGCGUUGACAAUUGUGUUGAUAAGGACAACUGUACCAUGAUCACUUGUGACUCUGACUCCCAGUGCGAAGGAAGCCUCAAGUGCUGCAAAACCAUUUGUGGAACUGUUUGUGCCCCACCAGUUUUCAGAAAUCCAUGCCAAGAUAACUUUGACUGUCCUUGGUCACUGAAGUGUUGUGAAGGGGUAUGUGACAGUGACUGUGUCUAUCAACCUAAGACCACAGCUCCUACACAAAAGCAAAAGAAGACGCAAUGAUCAAAACAUAUGUUGGGUCCUCGUUGCAAGAAAUGAUGAACAUUAG